rnacentral:lncRNA from 1 species
UUGGUUUGGUCUUUUUACUGUUUUUAUUUGAGCACCACGAUGAAUCCUAUUUAGACGCAACGCGCAUCUGGCGUACUAAAUCAUAAGCCUAUUGCUAUGUUCACACAAACAUUUAAUUUGAAUUGAAUUCGAAUCGAACGCGAAUCGAAUUCGCUUAUCGUGUUCACACACUCUUCUUUUUUAAUUCGAAUUGAUUCGAAUUAGUCAAUUCGCAUUAGAAAUACGUUUUUGUUAAUACGAAUUAAAAGCUAACGUCGUUUGGACGGUAAAGCGAAUUUGACGCGCAUUGCAAUUCGAAUUAGAAUUGACGUUAGGACGUGAAACGUUUCGAAUGCGAAUUAAACUAAUUUGAAUUAGUUAAUGCGAAUCGAAU